rnacentral:tRNA from 1 species
GCUUAGUUGGUAGAGUACAAAGCUCUUAACCUUGUGGGCGUGGGUUCGAGCCCCAU